rnacentral:tRNA from 1 species
GCAAAUGUGUCGGAAUUGGUAUACGAGCUAUACUUAGGAUAUAGUGCCUUUAAUGGCUUAAGAGUUCGAGUCUCUUCAUUUGUA